rnacentral:lncRNA from 1 species
AAGUCGGGGACGAAGCCCGGCUCCCGUAGGAGUCCGAGCGGAGUCUUCUCGCGGUUGAAGCUAGGAGCGAAGUCCGGCUCCCGUAGGAGUCCGGAUGAAGUCCACCUGCAAUUAAAGUCAGGGGUGAAGUCUGGCUCCCGUAGGAGUCCGGAUGAAGUUUACCAGCGGUCGAAGUUGGGGAUGAAGCCCGGCUCUCGUAGGAGUCCGGGCAGAGUCUUUUCGCGGUC